rnacentral:lncRNA from 10 species
ACCUAGCGAUUGACAUGGCCUUCAGAGGAUCUUGGACAGCGUCAGGAGAGGAUGACAUAGUCAACUGCAUACCUGCAAAAGAAUUCAGAACCUGUAGCCUUCAACUGUCCUGCUGCGCAAUUUCCAGCUGAAGUUAUAAUCUUCUGUUUGGGAUACCAUAGUUGAUUACUGUUGAAAUGACUGUAAUACUCAUUAUCCACCAUUUGUUGGAAGAGUGGAAGAAGACUGUGAUUAAAUAAAAAUUGGCUUGGAUUUUGCUUCCAACAUCUACCACAUUACUUUAAGAACUUAAUCAAAAUUUUGCUGUUGGUGUUUCUAAAUGUUUUUCUCGAUCACUUGCUUGGUCAGUACAAAUGUGGUAGAUUGAAUUAUUGACUCCAUUAUUUACCACUGCAGGAAUCGACAUCCUUUUCCACAGACCGUUGCAGUUCCUCUCACUGUAGACCGAGUAGACCCUUCGGUCUCAGUCAUGUGACUUACUUUAGUCAAGAAGACUUGAAAUGUGCAUGCAUAGAUGGGCUUGUCCUCUCACACCUCUGCCACCUUUGUAAAAAGAAGCUGUCCUGUUACGAUUUUGCACCAAGGAAGAUGACGGACACAGAAGCAUAUUUGGACCCAUCUCACACCCUGGCAUCCACGGCAGACUGGAGAGCCAAUUCUGUGCCUACUCACACACAUGUUUCUCAUGUACAAGGAGGAAAAGAGGCCAAACACGGAAACCCCAUGCAGUGACUGCCUCCUUUGGAUCAGCAUGUUAUGAAAAGUCGGUACCUGCCAUUCUGAUUGACUGAGAGCAACAGAAAACCCCUGAGGCCUUCCGGUUCAGUUGGGAUUGUAAUGAUAGACCAGCAAGACAAAAGCCUGCCAGAACAUUAGCUUCAACUGUAUGACAAUGCCCUUCCCAAGAAGAUAUGAUGCUGUGUAGAUGAAUAUAGAUUGAAAACGUGGAUCCUGUCAGCAGCACUGAUUUCACUCAGAAAACUUGUAUACUGGGAGGAUGCUGUGUCUGCUCAGGGUUAGGACUCCAGCAAUGUGUGAAAAAUUCAUUUUCCCAGCUGCAAACACUCAUGCUUCUAGUUGUACAAGUGGUAACUUGAGGGUCCACGCUAAUGUUGAAGCUUAGACAGAAAUAGGUGUGUGUGUGUGUGUCUAUCCCUGCUACGAAUGAGCAGGUACUUCUUGGCCUAAUCGUAGGGCAUGGGGGAGGAUCCACACAUUGCUCAAAAAUAAAAUUUCUUUCUGGA